rnacentral:tRNA from 1 species
AGGCUGUUAAUUUAAUAAAAAUUUUUGAUUUCGGCUCAAAAUACUGUGGUUAAAAUCCACAACCGCCUA